UGUAUAUUCAUAAAUACAUUAGUGCAACGU
rnacentral:piRNA from 1 species